AUUCCUACGGGGGACAGCAGUGGGGAAUAUUACACAAUGGGGGAAACCCUGAUGCAGCAACGCCGCGUGAGUGAAGAAGUAUUUCGGUAUGUAAAGCUCUAUCAGCAGGGAAGAAAAUGACGGUACCUGAGUAAGAAGCCCCGGCUAACUACGUGCCAGCAGCCGCGGUAAUACGUAGGGGGCAAGCGUUAUCCGGAUUUACUGGGUGUAAAGGGAGCGUAGACGGCUGCGCAAGUCUGAAGUGAAAGCCCGGGGCUCAACCCCGGGACUGCUUUGGAAACUGGGUAGCUAGAGUGCUGGAGAGG
rnacentral:rRNA from 1 species